rnacentral:lncRNA from 1 species
AGGGCUCUGGCUCAGGUCUCUCCUUUCUAGUUCUCUCUUCAGUGCCCAGUGAAUUUAAAGCUCUUGGAAUAAAAAAGGAGGGAAGGUCAGAAGAAUUUCACAGCCCCUUGGUGAAUAGUAGACGAGGUGCAGAGAAAUCUGGAUACAAAAAUCUAGUACAGUCUUAUCUUGGGGGUCUGGUGGAUAUGCAGAAGACAAUUUCACCUUGUCACCCAAAAAUUAACCAGUGAGCAAAGAGGGCUCCUGACCAAGCAUCUGAAAUAAUCGGUAAGGCUGGCUGAGGAGUGUGUGAUGUGGUGACACUAUGUAUGUAGAGUAGAGGUGAUAGGAAGUGGCCGGGGGCACAGGAUGCAUGCAGAAGAGGGAGCUCAGUGUGGGGAGCUUCUACCCGACGGAGGUGAGUUGGAGGAAAUGAAAAAGUACUGUGAAACCUAGGAGGAGAUAAAUACUUAAGCGCUGUGCAGAGCAAGAUGGCAAGAGAGGGUAGUGAGACAGAAGACACAUCAAGUCAGAAGAGGUAGAGACACACAUGCAGAGAUUGAGAGAACAAAGAAAUAUGAGCCACAAGAGAACCAAGUCAGAGAAAUGGGGAGAGAUGGCUGGAAGGUGAAAAAAAGAAUGAGCAGUUAGUAAGUAGAGAGCAGGAUGAGCAAAGCUGUCCACUCUGCCUGUCUG